UUUUCCACGUCAUAUGACACAAAACAAGUUUCCAGACUGACUCGUUGUAUAUUUUGCGAGUUUCUGACAUAAUCGUUUGAACCUAAACUUGCUCAAAUAAUUCUUGUUGAACCAAUCAUGUCAUUAACGGACCAAAAAAAAAUUUUUUUUAAUCACACAAAAAAAUUAUAUCAAUUGAUCAGCUUUCAUCACUAUAUAGUCAACAUGUUGAAAAAAAUAUUAGUCGUUCGGAACCCGAUAGAGCAGGGCUGUUAAACUCAUUUUUGUAGUGGGCCGUUAUGGCGAAAUUGUAGAAAACCUGAAUCGCCUCAUGAUAUUCCAUCCAUCCAUUUUCUUUGCCGCUUAUCCUCACGAGGGUCACGGGGAGUGCCGGAGCCUAUCCCAGCUCUCAAUGGGCAGGAAGCUGGGUACGGCUUAAACUGGUUGCCAGCCAAUCACAGGGCACGUAAAGACAAAUAGCAGGACUCACAAUCACACCUAUGGGCAAUUUUGUGUCUAAUUAAUGUUGCAUGUUUUUGGGGUGCGGGAGGAAACCGGAGUGCCCUGGAGAAACCCACGCAGGCAGGGCCGGGAUCGAACCCGGGUCCUCAGAACUGUGAGGACAACGCUUUACCGGCUGCACCACCGUGCCGCCCUCAUUAUACUUACACAUGGAAUUUAUGAACUAGUUUUUUGAAUCACAAAUCAAGCGUAAUGGGUUUUUCAACCAUUGUUCACGUUUACUAACGCAAAAAUGCCGAUAAUAUCUCAACAUUUUCAUUGAUGACGUAUGACAAUUUGAAAUGCCGGGACAUGUUUUUCCACGAGAAUUGCGGAUUUUGACACCGAUGAUUCGCCUUUGCGGGCCGGAUCUAGCCCCCGGGCCUCGAGUUUGACACCGGCGCUCUAGAGAGUUGAGGUGAUUGUUUGACCUUCCUGUGGAUUUGGUGACCCUUCCGCUUUUGGGGGUGUCCCGCGGAUGGGGGUGGGGUGGGGGGCGUUAAACUUUUAAUACUUGGGAUCAUUUAUCUUUACGGCCCAAACUCGGGAGACUGUCAACGAGCAGAGCAGCGAUUUCCUCGUUUGGUUUGGGAGCAAAGUGGGGCAAAGAAGAGGGGAAAAUGCGGCGGCGGUGAUGGAGUGGACCGAAUUGGGGCGAAGGGGGGGUCGUAAUGAAAUCCUGAUGUCAAGAGGGGUGCCGAGGGCUCGGCGAGGCCAAUCCGCGAGGUGGGGGCGUCACGGCGCUCCUCCAAAGACCUGCUCGUCAAGCCGGCCGCGUUACCUCGCGGGCGACGUCGGGGACCCACCGGGCGAGGAGAGAACUGCGAUAGGGGCCGGCGACGUGAGAAGAUAGGCCUUCAUGGUCCUGAAUGGAGGCCAAGCAAAACAGAAAAAUACACGCCGCAGACUCCUCGCAAGGUUAGCGCGAUACUGCAAAACAAUUACAUGAUACUUUGGUAAAUUGUAAAAUUCAUUGAUUUGUGUCUCAUUCAUUGCAAGUACAAUAACUGAGGAUUGCCUGGCAAAGCGCGUUUUCGUCAACAUCAAGUGAGCUACGUGGACCUGAGUGGUGUGCAAAAUGUUUCAUUUAUACGUUGCCUUUCAUAUGUCAUUUUUUUUCCAGCAUGUGAACACUUCUAGGUGGUUUUAGUUAUCUAUGUCCAAUUCUUAAUAAGGCAACAAUUCCACUGAUUUGUCUUUUGAUUUAUAUUUUAUUUUUUUCUUUCCACAAUUUAAUUAUUUUUAUAGGCAAUAUUUUUUUAAAUCUACUUUUUUUCCCCAAUAUAUUUAGUGCAUUUUUUUCCAGUGUGAAAAAAAAUCUUGCUAUUAUUUUCCUAUUGCACAAAAUAUUUUUUAAUUCAGGAAACUUUUAUUUCAUUUUAUAUCUUGAGCACAAAAUCAUUUGACUCGUUCAGUUAUUUUUAUCUAGUGUUGUUCAAUAUGAGUUUUUUUUUCACAUUUUAUUGCUAUAUUUUUGCAGUCCAUUAUUUUUAUUAAUGUCAUUCUAAUCUCUUAGAUGUAGUCAUCUGAGCUAUGAAUGUUCCCAAGAUAUGAUGUCCGGCGAGUGGAGCAAAACAAUGGCCCAUGAAAGCUCACGGGUUUGUCGCCGAGGCGCCCACGUGACCGGUGGGGAACACGUCACCGCCCCGUCCAGCGGCGCCGAACAUAAUGCCCGAACGAACACCUGCCAUCCGUUGUCACAAGGACAAGGAUGCGUUCGAGGACGGCUUGGAAAGAAACGUUCUUCGCGCCACGGAACAAGUGUGGACGAGGCCUUUAUAGAACGUUCGAUUGGCUUUUAUCCUUUUCCGUACUUUUCAGUCAAAACUAUUAAAAAAAAAAAUCUCAAUUGACUUUUAUGUAGUCGUAAAGCACGAAGCAAAACGAGUGGACGCAAACGUUGCUCACUGCAGAUUUCGUGGAUGGUUUUCCAGUGAGUAGACGUGUCCGCUUGUCUGCCGAUGUGAAAACAAUAUUAUAUUUUUACAGUGGAUGUUUUUUUUUCCAAUGCACGCCUAUUAAAAUGUAUCAAAAUAAUGUUUUUAUGCCCCAAGACUUUUGAAAUCGAAAAAAGUAGGCUUACCCUGCAAUUCCUUUAUGACUAAACACGUGAUGUAUGCAAUAAUAACUGUCAUUUGUGUUGCUUUUUUUUCUGGCACAGGCGCCGUUUGGCCUUACGUUUUGCACAUUAAUUAUGAUUCAGUUCGUAAUUCGUCCAUUUAAAACCUCCUGUCAUUUAAUUAAGUCGCGACUAAUUACCUGGAGCUGCUGCAUCACGUCUCAUUUAGUCCUGUGUAAUCUUAUUAUAAUAUUAGGAGGAAAAUCGCAAAUAGUCCGACUUGUAACACAUUUUCACACGCAUAUUUUUUGUCCCCCCCCCCCCCCACACACACACACACACACAGCCCUCCACUUUACAGGCAAGUGCCGAGCGCAACGAAAACGCCAAACGUGAGUCAUCCAAUUAAAGGUUAAGUUGAUCAUGGAUGGGGUCAAAUAAUUCAUCUCCAAAAUGUAAAUAAAAUAAAAUAAACAGUCGUGGUAAUAAUUUGAAGAUUUUUAAGGAUCGUCUUCAUCGACGUCGGCGUUUUAAAAACAAAUUAAAUAUUUUUCACUCUUGUUCAAAAUGAGAUUGGCCGCCUUUGUUUAUUUUUAUUUGUAUUUUUAAGGUUUGUAUGUUAACAAAGCGGGACUUCCCCCGCCCUUGAAAUAAUUCGUAAUAAAAAGAAAAGACCCGCCCCCCAAAAAACAGAAUAAAUAAAGCAGCGUUAAUAGAAAGUCCUGCUGUUUUAUGGCUUCCUCGUGUCGCCAUAUGGUCAUGUUGGGUACACAACACAACAAAGUCCAAAUGGACCACCAGCGAGCAAGGCGCGCUCUUGAAAAACAACACACGCACACACACACCCACUGUGGAACAAAAACGCUGCGUCGUGCACGUGCUCCCAGGUGAUCAAAAUCAAAAGCAACGUUUACCUUUCAGACUUUGGGCCUUCCGUUCUUGUUUUCGAACGCUAAUUGAGCAAUUUUCCCCCACGCGGACAUUUUGGGCCUGCCCAGAACUGCAGCGCGUCCUUUUUUUUUUUUCGUAUUUUAUGAUUUCAGGCAGUUGAGCUGCAGGCCUACGUUGACGCCGAAUAAAAAAUACAAAUAAAAAAAACACGAUUAUGUUUGUGAGCUAUCCGUAUGUUUUACAUAAAUAUAUGUUUUCAGAAAUGCCAAAAAAAAAACAACUAGCACCUCGAGUAAUUAAUAAACGUAAUGAAAUGCCCUUCUUUAAUUCAAUAUAUACUUAUAGGGCGACCCAUAGCAAUAAAAAAAUUACAUUGAAAAAAUCAUUAAUUUACUGUCUGCAACCCGUAUAGCUACAUAAGAAUAAUAUUUGCAAAAUUGGAAAUGUAAUAGUUCUUCCCUUGCAAUUUAACUACUGUAUAUCUUGUCCCUCUUCAUUUAUAUGCUACAUAAAUAAUCCACGUAAUUUAUGUUAACGUGCAAGUAUAUAGUAGGGCCUACUAGUAAACCAUAUCUAAAAAAAAUGUUCCUCCUCCCCUCUUACCUAUACAUAAAAAAAAUAGCUAUAAAAUAUCCCUAUUUAUAGCUAUGCUACUCGGAAAAGUUAUUAUUGUGUAUUUUCUUUUCACGUUGUAUUUUUACUGUCAUUUUUCAGGGCAAAACUUUUUUUUUAUCACAAAACGUAGGUUAUUACUUUUUUGUUUGUUUGUUUUUGUUUUUCUCGCCUGUCGCCUGACCAACCACUGUGUGAGGAGGAGGGGGGGGGUAUCUUUCUUUUUCUUUUUUUUUGUUCGUGGGCGUAAUACUUUCUCAGCGCAUUCGAAUGCGCCUCGUCGUCAGCAUCCUUCUGCUGAGGAGGCGCUGGUGGCUUAGCGGCAGACUCCUCCUCCCCCCACCAAGUCACCCCCCCCCCUCCCCCGCCCCUCCUGCGGCCGGACUCCGAGUGCGGUUUUUGGGGCGCGGCCCUUUAAGACGCGCGGGGGCCGCGGUGGAGGGUCAUCGAAGCCGCGUCGAGUCGCUCUAAUUGAGCCUCGGCCAAUCACCAGCAACUCGUUAGCAAGCG